rnacentral:rRNA from 1 species
AUUCCUACGGGAGGCAGCAGUGGGGAAUAUUGCACAAUGGGGGAAACCCUGAUGCAGCAACGCCGCGUGAGUGAGGAAGUAUUUCGGUAUGUAAAGCUCUAUCAGCAGGGAAUAGAAAAGAAGGUACCUGAAAAAGAAGCCCCGGCUAACUACGUGCCAGCAGCCGCGGUAAUACGUAGGGAGCGAGCGUUGUCCGGAUUUACUGGGUGUAAAGGGUGCGCAGGCGGCUCUGCAAGUCAGGCGUGAAAGCUAGGGGCUCAACCCCUAAACUGCGCUUGAAACUGUGGAGCUUGAGUGAAGUAGAG